CGGACUCACGGGAAGGUUGUCAGCUCCAUAUUUCAUAAAUAACCAUAAGCACAUUGUCCCACUGUGAAUGCUGUCGUGUGAUAUAGUUCCAAAGGCGUCAACGUCUGAGGGCGAGAGACACAAACAAAAGUCUGUAAUAACGGAACAUCUUUAAAGCUUGUUCGAAAGAUGGGAAACAGCGCCCAGACCUAAGUUGUUUACAAUCAGCCAGGGUCGAGCAUGGAGAGAGAAGGUGGAGCAUCGAGUCCCUGAUUCUAAAUGAUCAUUCCCCUGCGAGGGAGCAGUACCUCCUCCCUCUUGAAAGACAUUACUGGAGGUCUUCCCUCAGGCAUCAUCAGCUUUCUGACACUUCAUCCUUGUGGCUGCACUUCAUUUAUGGAUAAGUGUACUGUAUGAUUUGACUGGGAGAAGAAUCUUGAACAAGUACAGGAAGAGCAUUCAGUCGUACUGAUAAAGGGCAGGAGCCCAGGUUGAUUUUAGUUUUCCCUGUCACUUAAACUGGACCCACUCGAGUUUUAGGACACUGCGGAUGAAUUUACAUAGUACAGACAAUGUCACACUGUAAAUGGAAAAUAAAUCCAGCUGUCUAGUGAACAUAAUGCUGCAAACUUUGCUCACUAAAUGUUUUUUUGCAAAACAACCAAA